UUCUGCCUUUAAUACUUUCCAUGCCCUGUUUCUGGCUGAUAGCUUUUGAAUCAUCAGGAUUCUGUCAAGGAGCACGUUUUAAAUUUUAAUCAAGAGAGUAAGCGCCAAUCUUAUUUAGCACAAUAUUCCAGUUCUAAUCUUGGAUCUGCUGGGCUCUCCUACAAAUGAAUACACAUCAAGCUGAAAAAAACAGCAAUGAGCUGCAGACAAAACUAUCAAAGGGUUCAGGAUGGAGCUGGCCUUUCAAACACCACUAUUGGAACACUGCAAACGGACCAUCUUGCUGCCAAUGAUGAAAACAGUCUGCAAGUUGUGGGCGCCAACUCUCACUGGGAACUACUGCCUUCAACCUUGCAUCGGUCUCUGGGAUCGGGAUGUGGAAUUCAAUUUGAAGGCAAUGUCCUCCUUUGUUCGAUUUCUCACCUCCACUAUUGCCUUGAAUUGAACUUUCCUGCAACAGUUGCCCUGCAUCUCACAUUCAUUACACUUUCCAUGGGUUUUUAUAGUCAAAUUAGUUACACUCAAACCAGUCCAAAUGUCAUUAGUAAUUUGACAUGUUAACUAUAUUAGUGAUAAGACGGGCCUGCUGUAAACUGAACAGCAACAGUCUUCUGUGAAAACGAUUGUUUGCAAAAUGUUAUUGACAAAGCUAAACUACAGCACACUUGGGAGAGGAAUUCAGGAGUGUCGGCACUUGUUUCAAAUCAGCUUAAAAAAAACCCUAAUGGGAACCAAUGCAGAACUGUAAGUUAUCUAUAAUGGCCAACUUUAGAACUUGUCUUUUGUUUGAUGAAGUAUGCUGUCUGCCGAAACAGAUUUAAAUCGGGACUAUGAAUACAUUGGUAGGAUUGAUGUCAGGCAGUUCUAUACAAGAGUGGUCUCUCCAGACAGUUGGUGUACGAAACAUGUUUCAUUUUAUACAUCACGUUCUCAAUGCCACCUACCUUCAAGGUAAAAUUCUAAUUAUUCACUGCUUUUGAUAUUGGGGGAAAAGUGGGGUAAGUUUUGCAAAGUGUUAAAACGUUCCAAAUUCAUCUUAAUCUCAUUACUAUUAUCGCUCAACAAAAAUGUGAGCUAGUUCAUCUGUUACUAAGAAAUUCAAAAUACGUGCACUCACUUCUACAACUUCCCCCUGGCAAUGUGUCAUUUGUGCAAAAGGUGGCAUAGGCUCCUGAAUGAAUAUUAACAUCAGCAAUUUUGUUCUAAAAUGAAGUGAAUUUUUCAAACCUCUUUUAAACAUAAAAUGAGUUCAAUUAUUCAGUCCUCUUUUUUUGUAACGCAAAAGGUUUAUGCACUUGAAAAGUUAAUGCAAAAAAGUUUCCAUCAAAAUCUGUUUUAAGGUGAAUUUUCUCCUUUAGCCUAUUUUUGUUUCAAAAUAACGGAGCAGUUUUUAAUUUUCACAAAC